AUUAGAUACCCUGGUAGUCCACGCCGUAAACGGUGGGUGCUAGUUGUGGGUCACAUUCCACGUGAUCCGUGACGAAGUUAACACAUUAAGCACCCCGCCUGGGGAGUACGGUCGCAAGACUAAAACUCAAAGGAAUUGACGGGGGCCCGCACAAGCGGCGGAGCAUGCGGAUUAAUUCGAUGCAACGCGAAGAACCUUACCAAGGCUUGACAUAUACAGGAAAAGCGUAGAAAUACGCUCCCCGCAAGGUCUGUAUACAGGUGGUGCAUGGUUGUCGUCAGCUCGUGUCGUGAGAUGUUGGGUUAAGUCCCGCAACGAGCGCAACCCUCGUCCUAUGUUGCCAGCACGUAAUGGUGGGAACUCAUGGGAGACUGCCGGGGUCAACUCGGAGGAAGGUGGGGAUGACGUCAAAUCAUCAUGCCCCUUAUGUCUUGGGCUUCACGCAUGCUACAAUGGCCAGUACAAAGGGCUGCGAUACCGCAAGGUGGAGCGAAUCCCAUAAAGCUGGUCUCAGUUCGGAUUGAGGUCUGCAACUCGACCUCAUGAAGUCGGAGUCGCUAGUAAUCGUAGAUCAGCAACGCU
rnacentral:rRNA from 1 species